rnacentral:rRNA from 1 species
GACGAACGCUGGCGGCGUGCUUAACACAUGCAAGUCGAACGGAAAGGCCCUGCUUUUGUGGGGUGCUCGAGUGGCGAACGGGUGAGUAACACGUGAGUAACCUGCCCUUGACUUUGGGAUAACUUCAGGAAACUGGGGCUAAUACCGGAUAGGAGCUCCUGCUGCAUGGUGGGGGUUGGAAAGUUUCGGCGGUUGGGGAUGGACUCGCGGCUUAUCAGCUUGUUGGUGGGGUAGCGGCUUACCAAGGCUUUGACGGGUAGCCGGCCUGAGAGGGUGACCGGCCACAUUGGGACUGAGAUACGGCCCAGACUCCUACGGGAGGCAGCAGUGGGGAAUAUUGCACAAUGGGUGGAAGCCUGAUGCAGCAACGCCGCGUGCGGGAUGACGGCCUUCGGGUUGUAAACCGCUUUCGCCUGUGACGAAGCGUGAGUGACGGUAAUGGGUAAAGAAGCACCGGCUAACUACGUG